rnacentral:lncRNA from 1 species
GGUGCUUUAGUCUUGGCUGACCGGGGAAUCUGUUUAAUUGAUGAGUUUGACAAGAUGAAUGAUCAAGAUAGGUACGCGAGGAUCUUCCUUCUUCAUUGAUCCUUUCUUUAUGCACUGCAUCCCGUGGAUCGUGAACUGUCCUGGAUUGCAGGGUGAGUAUUCACGAAGCCAUGGAACAACAAAGUAUCAGUAUAUCAAAGGCUGGGAUAGUCACCUCGCUCCAGGCCCGGUGUAGUGUUAUUGCUGCUGCCAAUCCGAUUGGGGGAAGGUAUGAAAUUAAAUAAUAUAUCGUCUAACCUACAUUGGCG